rnacentral:rRNA from 1 species
UACGUAGGGGGCGAGCGUUGUCCGGAAUUACUGGGCGUAAAGGGCGUGUAGGCGGCCCGUGAAGUCAGGAGUGAAAACUCGGGGCUCAACUUCGAGAUUGCUUUUGAAACCAGCGGGCUUGAGUGCAGGAGAGGAAAGUGGAAUUCCCAGUGUAGCGGUGAAAUGCGUAGAUAUUGGGAGGAACACCAGUGGCGAAGGCGACUACCUGGACUGAUACUGACACUGAGGUGCGAAAGCGUGGGGAGCAAACAGGAUUAGAUACCCUUGUAGU